GACGAACGCUGGCGGCGUGCUUAACACAUGCAAGUCGAACGGAAAGGCCCUGCUUUUGUGGGGUGCUCGAGUGGCGAACGGGUGAGUAACACGUGAGUAACCUGCCCUUGACUUUGGGAUAACUUCAGGAAACUGGUGCUAAUACCGGAUAGGAGCUGCUGCUGCAUGGUGGGGGUUGGAAAGUUUCGGCGGUUGGGGAUGGACUCGCGGUUUAUCAGCUUGUUGGUGGGGUAGUGGCUUACCCAGGCUUUGACGGGUAGCCUGCCUGAGUGGGUGACCGGCCACAAUGGGACUGAGAUACGGCCCAGACUCCUACGGGAGGCAGCAGGGGGGAAUAUUGCACAAUGGGCGGAAGCCUGAGGCAGAAACGCCGCGUGCGGGAUGACGGCCUUCGGGUUGUAAACCGCUUUCGCCUGUGACGAAGCGUUAGUGACGGUAAUGGGUAAAGAAGCACCGGCUAACUACGUG
rnacentral:rRNA from 1 species